UGGGGAAUAUUGCACAAUGGGGGAAACCCUGAUGCAGCGACGCCGCGUGAAGGAAGAAGUAUCUCGGUAUGUAAACUUCUAUCAGCAGGGAAGAUAAUGACGGUACCUGACUAAGAAGCCCCGGCUAACUACGUGCCAGCAGCCGCGGUAAUACGUAGGGGGCAAGCGUUAUCCGGAUUUACUGGGUGUAAAGGGAGCGUAGACGGCAUGGCAAGUCUGAUGUGAAAGGCAGGGGCUCAACUCCUGGACUGCAUUGGAAACUGCCGGGCUUGAGUGCCGGAGGGGUAAGCGGAAUUCCUAGUGUAGCGGUGAAAUGCGUAGAUAUUAGGAGGAACACCAGUGGCGAAGGCGGCUUACUGGACGGUAACUGACGUUGAGGCUCGAAAGCGUGGGGAGCAAACAGGAUUAGAUACCC
rnacentral:rRNA from 1 species